GGAGGGGUGGCAGAGUGGUCGAUUGCACCGCACUCGAAAUGCGGCAUACCUGUGAGGGUAUCGGGAGUUCGAAUCUCCCCUCCUCCGCCA
rnacentral:tRNA from 1 species